rnacentral:lncRNA from 1 species
AAAAUCGUGUAGGUCAAGGCAAAGUAUUUCGGCUCUUAUUUCAAGAGAGUUUUAUCUGUCAACAUAUUGGUUCGGAUCCGAAAAUCUUGUCUAUCCGUGUAAUCUCGUAUAAUAUAUACACAAACAAGCAGAGGGUGAAUGGACUAAUGUCCUCCAUACGCCUUCUGGCAAGAGUCCGUUUCUUUCCGCUUCACCAAAUACAAAUACGACUUAGUCCGACACAUUAUACAAUGUUGCUGUAAUUUUUACCACUGCCGCCGCUUCUAUGGCAAUCUUCCAAUAGGAAUUAUACGGCCAAGUGGGACGCUAUCUUUACAAUUCUCAGCUCUAUAAUUGGAUAUUAGCGCGUCGAGACGUCUUCCAUGUGUGACAGCCGAUGGAGCGCAACGCGGGUAAACACGUCUGGUCACCGAAGGUCAACCGAAUACACCUGGAAUACAGGAAUUCCAGUCCAGGAGUUUCGGCCGAGAAAUGAUAAUGGCCCGACUCGGGACUUUGUUUUUAAUACAUAAUCCGCUUUUCAUCGGGUCGUAUCUCUGGUUCAGACAGUUGGAAUGUUACCCGCGUGAAGUCUGCUAUCCAGGAAUUUCUAGUCGCCAUGUUUCCUCCAUAGCCACGACUGCCCUGCCCUCCCAUCUUUCCCAUUUGAGGAGGAAUUUCAUUUUUAAACCCGUUUGACAAUAGGAGAUUUGUAAGCUAUAACUAAAGCUAUUGCUGUAACUGAUCAGCACCAUAAAAUUAUGAGAUGAUUUUGGAUCUUUCAAUCAUUGAUGAAGAGGGAUUUCUCAUUACUACACCUGCGGAUCAGUUAACAACGCGCACUUUUUGUUGGGCUGUGGGGAACAAAUCAAGAUGAGAUUACUUUCUACGUUAAAACUUAUAACUCGUGAUUAUUCUAUUGUACAUCUUUUUCCAAACAGUUUUAGAUUUUAUAUUCAAAAA